rnacentral:rRNA from 1 species
UGGGGAAUAUUGGACAAUGGGCGCAAGCCUGAUCCAGCCAUGCCGCGUGAGUGAUGAAGGCCUUAGGGUUGUAAAGCUCUUUUAGCAGGGAAGAUAAUGACGGUACCUGCAGAAAAAGCCCCGGCUAACUUCGUGCCAGCAGCCGCGGUAAUACGAAGGGGGCUAGCGUUGCUCGGAAUUACUGGUCGUAAAGCGCACGUAGGCGGCUUCUUAAGUCGGUGGUGAAAUCCUGGAGCUCAACUUCAGAACUGCCUUCGAUACUGGGAAGCUCGAGUUCGGGAGAGGUGAGUGGAACUGCGAGUGUAGAGGUGAAAUUCGUAGAUAUUCGCAAGAACACCAGUGGCGAAGGCGGCUCACUGGCCCGAUACUGACGCUGAGGUGCGAAAGCGUGGGGAGCAAACAGG